UUUCCCCUCACCUGUUAGCAAUCAAUACGCCUGGUCAAUACAGCCUCUACAAUGUGUUUCCACUGUGUGACUCGUCCCCACGCCACCGUCCUUCUUAGCUAAAGUGCUUCGAUUGUCUUCCAGUCUCCUAUCAGCAAAACCUGCCCUCCUGGACAUCUCUGCUCUGGGAAAACCUGAUGUAGAAGAAUCAACAGCCGCAGAUGUAUGAAGCCAAAGAAAGGGGCUGACAGCUUUAUGUUGAUUCACUCAAAAACUCAAAGGCGGGCCAUUGUGAUCCUCAUUUCUAUUUUGUGAUCGAGUAUUUUUGCAUCUGCAAGCAAAGUAAAAGUGUAAAAUCGAUUAACAAGGACAAAGACCACAGCAAGCCUGGAUCAGAGAGAAUUUUCUACUCUGCCUGCAAGGCCCCGCCUUCUAACAACACGGUUAACUACUAACUCUUCGAUGGAUCCAUCACUGAACACAUGAAGACAAGUGGUGCUCAUGACCUCGCUCUCACAGGGGCACCGAGAGUCUGCCCCUCCCUAACGUCCCUCAGUAAGCAGCAGCUGCAGAUUCCAAGCUGGAAGGCACCAGCGCCCAUGCUUCAAGCACCCCGCCAUCCUGACUCCAUUCAUGCCUCAGAGCUACAGCUCCAUGGACACAUCUCCACAUAAUCUUGUUUAGCUACUUUUGUCUUCACUCACUUUCCAGAGUUUAUAUCUCCCUCCUGAAUUCAACUUGUACAACACAAAAGAGAGCUAAGUCAUUCGUGUAAUUAUACCAGUGUUCAGACAGACUCAGACAGGGAUGUGUUUAUCCCUGUGUUUGAGAAGGUUCCUUAGCUACUCUCCAGCUGUGAACUGAAAGCAUCCAACUGGCACGAAAAGGUCAUGGCCCCAAGGCCUUUGGGCAAGGUAUGUCACUGGGAGGUUUUAAAAAUGGUUCCUGACUGUCCAUGUUAGAACGACAUUCCGGAGGAAAUGCAAAAUUUAUUUCACAUGUAAACCAUUCAAGAUAUUUAUAGAAGAAAACAUUAUGAAGAACAAAACUCUCCCUUUAGACUUGGGUUCCAAACGUUAAGAAUGCUUCAAAAAGAAGAAUAAAACAAAGGAGGGGCUAUUUCUCUCUCAGCUCGUAUUAAUAGAUGGGUCACAGUUUGCAGCAUGAUUGCACACAUAUUUUUUCAAUUUCCUUAUUAUGAGCCACACAGUUAGCAACAAAAUAAUCUGGGGUCAAAAAAUAAAUGAAGCAACAUGAGGCUCUCCAACAAAAACUGGCACACUAUACAAAGAAAGCAAUGUAUGGAUAUUAUGUGAGGAGAGGGAUUCAAAGGCAUUCUGUGUUCCUCAUGAUCUGAAAGUGCACAGUGCGCCAAGAACCGCAGGGAUUCCUAGAAUCGUCCAC